UACGGGGGGGGCAAGCGUUGUUCGGAAUUACUGGGCGUAAAGGGCUCGUAGGCGGCCAACUAAGUCAGACGUGAAAUCCCUCGGCUUAACCGGGGAACUGCGUCUGAUACUGGAUGGCUAGAGGUUGGGAGAGGGAUGCGGAAUUCCAGGUGUAGCGGUGAAAUGCGUAGAUAUCGGAAGGAACAUCAGUGGCGAAAGCGGCUUCCUGGUCCAGCACCGACGUUCAGGCACGAAAGCGUGGGGAGCAAACAGG
rnacentral:rRNA from 1 species